UAGGGAAUCUUCCACAAUGGACGCAAGUCUGAUGGAGCAAACCCCCGUGAGUGAAGAAGGUUUUCGGACCGUAAAGCUCUGUUGUUGGUGAAGAAGGAUAGAGGUAGUAACUGGCCUUUAUUUGACGGUAAUCAACCAGAAAGUCACGGCUAACUACGUGCCAGCAGCCGCGGUAAUACGUAGGUGGCAAGCGUUGUCCGGAUUUAUUGGGCGUAAAGCGAGCGCAGGCGGAAGAAUAAGUCUGAUGUGAAAGCCCUCGGCUUAACCGAGGAAUUGCAUCGGAAACUGUUUUCUUGAGUGCAGAAGAGGAGAGUAGAACUCCAUGUGUAGCGGUGGAAUGCGUAGAUAUAUGGAAGAAUACCAGUGGCGAAGGCGGCUCUCUGGUCUGCAACUGACGCUGAGGCUCGAAAGCAUGGGUAGCGAACAGGAUUAGAUACCCUGGUAGUCCAUGCCGUAAACGAUGAGUGCUAAGUGUUGGGAGGCUUCCGCCUCUCAGUGCUGCAGCUAACGCAUUAAGCACUCCGCCUGGGGGAGUACGACCGCAAGGUUGAAAC
rnacentral:rRNA from 1 species